GGGCCCGCACAAGCAGUGGAGCAUGUGGUUUAAUUCGAUGCAACGCGAAGAACCUUACCAGUCCUUGACAUGGGGAGUUUGGUUUCCGGAGACGGAUUCCUUCAGUUCGGGCUGGCUCCCACACAGGUGCUGCAUGGCUGUCGUCAGCUCGUGUCGUGAGAUGUUGGGUUAAGUCCCGCAACGAUGCGCAACCCUCAUCUUUAGUUGCCAUCAGUUAGGCUGGGCACUCUAGAGAAACUGCCUGCGAUGAGCAGGAGGAAGGCGGGGAUGACGUCAAGUCCCUCAUGGCCCUUAUGGACUGGGCUACACCACGUGCUACAAUGGCGGUGACAGUGGGAAGCAAUAGGGCGAACCUGGAGCA
rnacentral:rRNA from 1 species